GAGAGGAGAGGAGAGGAGAGGAGAGGAGGGAGAGGCUCUACUAUGACUAUGUGAUCCAGUGAGGAUGAAAAAAGGUGAAAGACAAACCCCAGUGAGUUCUAGUCCCAUCACUCCUCUUCCAUCGCCCCGUCUCUAGUUCCAUCACUCCUCCUCCCUCGCCCCGUCUCUAGUUCCAUCACUCCUCCUCCCUCGCCCCGUCUCUAGUUCCAUCACUCCUCCUCCCUCGCCCCGUCUCUAGUUCCAUCACUCCUCCUCCCUCGCCCCGUCUCUAGUUCCAUCACUCCUCCUCCCUCGCCCCGUCAGAUAGUUCCCAGGUCGGCUAGAGGAUGACAGAACAACAGUGGUCUGAAAACACAGUUCCCAGGUCAGAUAGAGGAUGACAGAACAACAGUGGUCUGAACACACAGUUCCCAGGUCGGAUAGAGGAUGACAGAACAACAGUGGUCUGAACACACAGUUCCCAGGUCAGAUAGAGGAUGACAGAACAACAGUGGUCUGAACACACAGUUCCCAGGUCAGAUAGAGGAUGACAGAACAACAGUGGUCUGAACACACAGUUCCCAGGUCAGAUAGAGGAUGACAGAACAACAGUGGUCUGAACACACAGUUCCCAGGUCAGAUAGAGGAUGACAGAACAACAGUGGUCUGAACACACAGUUCCCAGGUCAGAUAGAGGAUGACAGAACAACAGUGGUCUGAACACACAGUUCCCAGGUCAGAUAGAGGAUGACAGAACAACAGUGGUCUGAACACACAGUUCCCAGGUCAGAUAGAGGAUGACAGAACAACAGUGGUCUGAACACACAGUUCCCAGGUCAGAUAGAGGAUGACAGAACAACAGUGGUCUGAACACACAGUUCCCAGGUCAGAUAGAGGAUGACAGAACAACAGUGGGUGCUCUAUAUCACGUUGGUUGAGAGACAUUACACAAGAAUCCUGCUUUUUGAAUGUACUGCCAUGGUGCACCUCUCCCACUCUAGAAGGCUGUAUGAUAUUUGUGUUACUCCAUAACCCUGAAAGUCACUUAUAUUAAUUGAGCGUGAAAUCACCUGCUUUCAAAGACGAUAAUUGGAUUGCUGAUUGAGAAGCAACGAUGAAAAACAGCAGAAAUGGCUUUUAGUUUGUGGUGUUGAAUUGAGCUUCAUUUUACUAUACAUUUUGCAGGACAUAAUGUUUUGCUGCCUUAUAGAGACGUGUGAUAACAUGUCACAUGAGGUUAAAAGUACGUUAUAACCACAUCAAAUGAUGAUUCCUAAUGUACGAUGCAGUACUACAUCUACUCAUCUGAACAGGGCAAACAUGGCUACCUGCUUAAGAUGCACGCUCCUAGUGGCCGUAGGACUUCAAUGCCGAUAAACCUAAAUCUGUUUUACCUCAUUUCUACCAGCAUGUUAAAUGUGCAACCAGAGGAGAAAACAACUCUAGACCACCUUUACUCCACACACAGAGACGCGUACAAAGCUCUCCCUCGCCCUCCGUUUGGCAAAUCUGACCAUAAUUCUAUCCUCCUGAUUCCUGCUUACAAGCCAAAACUAAAGCAGAAAGUACCAGUGACUCACUCAAUACGGAAGUGGUCAGAUGACGCAGAUGCUAAGCUACAGGACUGUUUUGCUAUCACAGACUGGAAUAUGUUCCGGGAUUCCUCCGAUGGCAUUGAGGAGUUACACCACCUCAGUCAUCGGCUUCAUAAAUAAGUGCAUCGAUGAAAUCGUCCCCACAGUGACCAUACGUACAUACUCAAACCAGAAGCCAUGGAUUACAGGCAACAUCCGCACUGAGCUAAAGGGUGGAUCUGCCACUUUCAAGGAGCGGGACUCUAACACGGAAGCCUAUAAAAAAACCUGCUAUGACCUCCGACAAACCAUCAAACAGGCAAAGCGUCAAUACACUAGAAAUGUCAGGUGUCAAAUUGUGAAGGUUGCUUUUCUCAAAUUCAGAGAGGCUGUGAGAGAGCAACAUUCACAGCUGUGGUACUACAAGGACGCAAUAGUGCGUGUGCGUGUAUGCGUGCGUGUGUAUGCAUGUGUGUAUGCGUGCGUGUGUGUGUGUGUGUAUGCGUGUGUGCGUGCGUAUGCGUGUGUGUGCGUGUGUAUGCGUGUGUGCGUGUGUGCGU